AUUAAAGUUUUAAUCUGAUAAUUACAACAAACUCGGUUAAUUAACAUUUUUAUUUGCUAUUCCAGUAAGCUCAAUAGGGAUACCUUGUGACUUAAAAUUCGCACAGCAAGUAUUUUUUCCUAUAAAAUUUUCCAAUUUCCACAUUGAUUUUUUUUCACCACUGUAUCUAUAGACAAGGAGAUUAAUAACAUUGUACAAGAACUUGGAUCUGUGGGACCACAGCUUUAUGUAUCAUUGCACGCGCAACAUUUUUAAUUGAUCACACUUUUAAUUUAUCAGAUUGCUUUGCAUGACAAGAACUUGUGAAUAAGUUCUAGACAUUGAUAGCGUAAUCCACUCCCAGGUAGAAAAUAUAAAAUAAAAGACAUUACAUCAUUCAAUCAUAUUAAAUAUUUCAUUCCAGUUGUUUGAAAGUUGGAGACUACAAUGUUCAUCCAAUGGUCCAUAUGCAUGCUAUAUGGUAAUUUUCAAAGUUGCACGUCAUGCAAUCUCUAGCAUUGAUAACCUAGAUCAUUUUCACCAUAUUUUGUUGGUUUCGAAGAAGAAAAAUAUUAUUGGUCAUAUCAGAACAGUUUUGAAGAGAAUAGGCAAACAAUUGGAAAAAAACCUGUCAUUUUGAGACAAAACCAAGCUUGGUUCUAACUACCCCAGUAGUUUCGUCGGAAAAGAUUUUUGUAAAAGGUAAAGGAGGAUGGGCACAGACACCUGACGCCAGACUCCAAGUGAUGAGAAUAGGUCAGUUGGGCCUUUGGGCCUCAGAAUAUAAGUUCAAAAGAAAACUGAAUAGUUCAAUAACAGCAAAAUUCCCUACAAAUACAAUCACAUCAAAAAGAAUCAAAACAAAGGUAUAUAGACAUUCAUAACCUAAAGAAGCUUACCACAAGAACAUUUUUACCACAAGGCAUAUUGAUUUUUUCUCAACAUCAUAGAUUGAGUAAGAUCAGCAAAACAGGAUAUUUAGACGUGAAAAAUGCAAUUAGAGGAUUAAAACGCAACAAGAUCCAACAUGGGACAACUACGCUUUAAUAAGGUAUUUCUCAAGGGAUGUGUUAAAGCUGCUGGUAUGAUUACAAGGUUUCAGAAAGCACCAUGAAACUUGAAUCCACGGUAAAUCACUUGUUGCUGAGCUAUGGCUUCUGGUUGUGAAGAAGCAUAAGUCAAAUGAUCUUUUCUUUAUGUCUUUUCCAACAAGUAUAAUUAUUUCUCACGUUUCAAACAGAAAACUAAUGAUUUUUAUACUGCAAAGAACAAAUUUCUCAAUUUUGUAAUUAAA